rnacentral:rRNA from 1 species
AACGAACGCUGGCGGCAUGCCUAACACAUGCAAGUCGAACGAGACCUUCGGGUCUAGUGGCGCACGGGUGCGUAACGCGUGGGAAUCUACCCUUGGGUUCGGAAUAACAGUUAGAAAUGACUGCUAAUACCGGAUGAUGACGUAAGUCCAAAGAUUUAUCGCCCAAGGAUGAGCCCGCGUAAGAUUAGCUUGUUGGUGGGGUAAUGGCCUACCAAGGCGACGAUCUUUAGCUGGUCUGAGAGGAUGAUCAGCCACACUGGGACUGAGACACGGCCCAGACUCCUACGGGAGGCAGCAGUGGGGAAUAUUGGACAAUGGGCGCAAGCCUGAUCCAGCCAUGCCGCGUGGGUGAUGAAGGCCCUAGGGUUGUAAAGCCCUUUCGGCGGGGAAGAUAGUGACGGUACCCGCAGAAGAAGCCCCGGCUAACUUCGUGCCAGCAGCCGCGGUAA